rnacentral:lncRNA from 12 species
CAGAGUGAAGUGGUGGGUGGCGAUGGAAGGUAAAGGCAGAUAACCGUGGAUGUAAGCCUCAAAAGCAGUGACUGUUGUUCCCUUUGUGUGUUCUUUUUUAAAGAAUAAAGAGAAUACAGCUGUUCGGUCUGCAGAGUCUCUUCUCUUGGCCCCAUGAGAGAUGGUGCCACUGCAUUUUCCACUGGUCCUCUAUUUAUCCAAACUGAGAGUCCAGUGUGACCUUGGUACGACCAAACUUGCUUUGCAAUAAUGUUGACUCAGAUGAUGGCAAAUGAAGAUAUUUCCUCUAAGCUCGAGCUUAGCCGUGUGAACUCCCCCUGUCAGUGGUCCCUGGGGGAACCUCUGGGAAAGACUAUCCACCUGGGAAAAAGAGAUGGACAAGAAGAACUGCCUUCUUCAUUUGCAGUCUUCCCCCACCACAAGGGAACAACUUCGACAGCUAAGGUUAGUAGAAAAGACAGAAAAAAACAUGUGUCCUUGGUAACGUCGUGUAGCUACUACACCAAUACUUGAAUUGCUCUCCGUCUAGACUUCUUGUCAGUUGGAUUAAUAAGCUCUAUUGUUUAAGCCACAUUCUACUGUGUACUCUCACGUAGCCACCUCCUCCUCCCUGUCCUUCAGGUGAACAAGUGUCUACGUUUCUCAGUUCAGACAAUCACAUGCUUAAGAAGGAGGGUGAUCAUUCCUGGCUAAUCAUCCCUGAUUCCUGGUCAUUCCUUUUGCUUGGAAUUGUUUGGCUAAGGGUUCUCACUGCCAUGCCAUUGGGCCAAAUGAGAAAGAAAAUUGACCACUGGGACCCAGAUAGGACACUGUGCUAAGACACACAGACGAAUCAGUUGGGGCUGGGGUGAGGAGAGGGUUCAGAAAUAGAUGUAGGGGAAAUGGGCGUUUCCUCUCAAUGCUAAUUGGG